GUUUAUGUAGCUUAAUUAAAGCGUGGCACUGAAGAUGCUAAGAUAUAUUUUUAAAAAUAUCAAAAACA
rnacentral:tRNA from 1 species